UUAUGGCCAUAUCACGUUGAAACACCGGUCCUCGUACGAUCACUGAAGUUAAGCAACAUAGAGUCUUGGUCAGUACUUAGAUGGCUGACCACUUGGUGAUACUAUGUACUGUA